UACGGAGGUGGCAAGCGUUACUCGGAAUUAUUGGGUGUAAAGGGCAGGUAGGUGGUCUUGUAAGUGAGGGGUGAAAUCCCAUGGUUCAAUCAUGGAACUGCCUUUCAAACUGGAGGACUUGAGAGUGUUAGGGGAGAAUGGAAUUCCCGGUGUAAGGGUGAAAUCUGUAGAUAUCGGGAAGAACACCAACAGCGAAGGCAAUUCUCUGGGACACUUCUGACGCUGAACUGCGAAAGCUAGGGGAGCAAACAGAAUUAGAUACUCUGGUAGUCCUAGCCGUAAACGAUGAAUACUAGGUGUUGGUCCUUUCGGGGAUCAGUGCCGAAGCUAACGCAUUAAGUAUUCCACCUGGGGACUACGAUCGCAAGGUUAAA
rnacentral:rRNA from 1 species